rnacentral:rRNA from 1 species
UAGCUACGGGAGGCAGCAGUGGGGGAUAUUGCACAAUGGAGGAAACUCUGAUGCAGCGACGCCGCGUGAGUGAAGAAGUAUUUCGGAUCGUAAAGCUCUGUUGUAAGAGAAGAACGAGUGUGAGAGUGGAAAGUUCACACUGUGACGGUAUCUUACCAGAAAGGGACGGCUAACUACGUGCCAGCAGCCGCGGUAAUGCUA